AUUGAUUGGGCGUAAAGCGUCUGUAGGUGGUUAUGCUAGUCGGCUGUUAAAGAUCAGGGCUGAACCCUGAGCAAGCAGUCGAAACUGCGUGGCUGGAGUACGGUAGGGGUAGAGGGAAUUCCCGGUGUAGCGGUGAAAUGCGUAGAGAUCGGGAAGAACACCGGUGGCGAAGGCGGCCUGCUGGGCAGUUUGGCUGACACUGAGGCGCGACAGCGUGGGGAGCAAACAGG
rnacentral:rRNA from 1 species